UUACUGGUACAAACCCAGCCUCAGGACAUCUGCAGGUUCUUGAGCAAGGCCCUUAACCCCCAGCUCCCUGGACACCCCACCAGUCAACUGCCCUUCACAGACAGCCUACUCUACAAAGAACAAGUUGAGGGAAGCAUAAGGACAAUUUACCCACAGGUCCGCCAUAGCUGAUAGAAGAGGGAGGGGGAGUGAGUACAAGUGAAAGGAUGGUGAACUCCAGGUGUGCAUCACCCUCUAUCUCCUGCUGGGACUGUGCUAUAAAAUGGCAGAAGAGGAACUACCAGGAUCAAGAUAAAGUACACAGAAGAGGAGACAACCACUAGACCUUAAUGACACCUGGGGGAAAACAGGAAAGACUGAAUCAGAAUGUUACACCAGUUGGGGACUAGGAUGGACAGGUGGAACCUGAGUAACUCAGACAACACAGACAGAAUGGGGAACUCCACAGUGAACCAGACGUAGGAACUUUUGUUGCACAGACUACUGAUGUGGAAAGGCAUGGGGGGAGGGGCUUAGAGCAGGGGUGUCAAACUCAUUUUAGGGAAUGGGUCACACUGGAUCUUGCCUAGCUUCACGUAGGCCACAUAAAAACUAUGUUUGCUAGAUUAUUAAAACAUUAUUAACACCAUUAGUAUUUGUUUUAUUGGUUUUAUCUGUUAAAAUGUUUUUUAAAUUUUUUGUUUUAAUAACAGAGGUUUUCUUUUCUCCCAGUAGAGCUAUGUUAAAUGAACAAUUGCAUUAAUCAUAAAUCAUGUACAAUGAAAUGAACAGUCUGGAAUGCUUUAUGAGACUUCUGAACUUUAUGUAAAUAAUCAGUGGUUUUCUCCUAUACACAACCAAACAAAUAUGGAGAAUUAAUGCUUAGUGAUGCAAGAUUAACAGUCCGCUCAAAAAAAUAAAUAAUGCGUGCUCAAAAUACGUCUGUGCCACGAAAGGCAUUAUUUAAUGAUGAAAUCAAGUCAUGCCUUGCUGCAUUUUCUCCACAGAAAGAAAAACUCCAGUUCUGCUUCAUUUUGGCACAGGACUAAUAUCAGCACCUUGCAUUUCUUGAAUAGAUGACAGUCAUUUCGUUCACAAAAUGCAUUUUUAUCAACUAAAUAAAUUCAUUUUGUGUACAAAAUGCAUUUUGUGAAUGAAAGAAUGUCAUUUUGUGGACAAAAUGCAUUUGGCUGGAGAGCAGGGGAGAACGUAGUUGUAGAAACAUCAGGGGAGACAUUGGCGGAGCUGUUGAUAGGGCUACAGCCAAAGGAACAGCUGUAGAGACAAACCACUGGAGGAAAU